rnacentral:ncRNA from 1 species
AACGAAGAGGCGCAUUACUCAGGUAAAUCAUUUUAAGGACUGGAACUGUUGACAAAUGAUUGAGGGGAUGUAGUGCCGAGAUUUGAUAACUGUCCAGGAAGUUAUUAAAUCGACUGCAAGGGCUGAAUCCCUUGGGUUGUCACCUUAACAGGUGGAGCGCUUCGCGGU